CUUCAACGAGCCCAGCCACAACGGCCGUUCACGCUCCUGGCCAUACGUAGCCAGUAAGGCCUGCGCCUC
rfam:Streptomyces albus strain DSM 41398, complete genome.